rnacentral:rRNA from 1 species
UACGGAGGGGGCUAGCGUUGUUCGGAAUUACUGGGCGUAAAGCGCACGUAGGCGGAUAUUUAAGUCUGGGGUGAAAUCCCGGGGCUCAACCCCGAAGCUGCCUUUGAUACUGGGUAUCUGGAGGUCGAGAGAGGCGAGUGGAAUUCCGAGUGUAGAGGUGAAAUUCGUAGAUAUUCGGAGGAACACCAGUGGCGAAGGCGACUCGCUGGCUCGAUACUGACGCUGAGGUGCGAAAGCGAGGGGAGCAAACAGG